rnacentral:rRNA from 1 species
AUUGCUUAAUGCACCACAUGUGUUUUUCUUUGAAACAAACUUGCUUUGGCGGUGGGCCCAGCCUGCCGCCAGAGGUCUAAACUUACAACCAAUUUUUUAUCAACUUGUCACACCAGAUUAUUACUUAAUAGUCAAAACUUUCAACAACGGAUCUCUUGGUUCUCGCAUCGAUGAAGAACGCAGCGAAAUGCGAUACGUAAUAUGAAUUGCAGAUAUUCGUGAAUCAUCGAAUCUUUGAACGCACAUUGCGCCCUCUGGUAUUCCGGAGGGCAUGCCUGUUUGAGCGUCGUUUCUCCCUCAAACCGCUGGGUUUGGUGUUGAGCAAUACGACUUGGGUUUGCUUGAAAGACGGUAGUGGUAAGGCGGGAUCGCUUUGACAAUGGCUUAGGUCUAACCAAAAACAUUGCUUGCGGCGGUAACGUCUACCACGUAUAUCUUCAAACUUUGACCUCAAAUCAGGUAGGACUACCCGCUGAACUUAAGCAUAUCAAUAAGGCGGAGGAA